AACUGUUGAGUUGAAUCUGUAAUUCUAAAGGCUUUUGAAGGUGUUUAUAAUCUUAAAUGUUUCUGUGCAGACUGCAAGGACAGGAAAUCUACUCUGUGCACGCACAGACACACAUACACACACAUACGGUUAGGGUGUAGGUGAAAGUUGAGCAUGCUUCCUGUGACUGAUGAAGAAGCAGAUGCACAAUGCGAGAGCUGAGCUGGCUUAGGGGAAACCACCGGGGAGAGGAUGGAGGCCAGUGUACUUUGAUGGUGUCUCGAAUUGUCAAAUAGAACAUUUGUGGUUUUGAAGCUGAUGUAAUGACGCAAUGAGGGGGCGUCAUUAAAUAUACUCUGAUGCAUAUAAAACUGUAUUUUGAUGUUUGGAGGAUGAGAUUUUUGUGCUGUCUCCGUACAGGGUCAGCUCAUUCUCCCACGCGUGUCUUUUCAUUAAAAUCAUCGUCCGACUUUACCUUUUGGACCAGUGUGGUUACUUGCAUUCCGCCUGUAUUUACUUCCUAUAUUUUUUAACCUUAACAAGUGCCUUGAGGCGACUUUUGUUGUGAUUUGGCGCUAUAUAAAUAAAAUUGAAUUGAAUUGAAUUGAAUUGGAAAAUAGUACGAUGGUGGCUGUAACUACACAGCAGUGACAAAGCAAACAGUGGUGAAAAUGAAGCUUCAGUCAGAGGCAGACAUGCACAGCACAGAGAUCCAGCAGCAGGUUUCACAGCAGCUGUCAGGCCUCAUGCUGUCAGAAGGACUGACAGACUUCAGGAUUCGUUGGAGGAAAGUCCAGAGUUACCGUGACGACCAGUUGAAGAAGCAGGAUGUGGACGGUGGCUGCAAAACUGAAUUCUGACUGGACUGAACCACUUCAUGUGUGAAGUUAAUAACAUGCUGUGCUGAGCUGUCUCAUCCUUUAAAUCUUUCAAUAUUUCAGAGUGUAAAGUUUCACCAAUAACCCCUUUGUAGUAACAGUUGUAGUUUGACAGAAAUUCUUUUAUUUAGAGGUCCAUGCACAAUUUUGUAGGUCUCCUUGAAAUUUUCUUCAUAGGCUUUUACAGUUGUUUACAGUUUAUUGGGAUCCAUAAUUCUUGUUUCAUUCUGACAGCAAUCUCUGCUGACUUAAACAAAAGGUAAAGAAAAUCAAAAAUUUACUGCUGUAAGAGGUCAGGAUGGAUACCAAAACACUGUUUAUGUCCUGAUUCUGCUUAGACUGUUUCAGACCCAUAAGAACCAUGAAUGGGAUCAUAAGUGUCCCAAUCCAUACCUGAUUUAAAUUGGUAUGGUCCAUUUUAAAGGGUUGGACUUUUAAUACAGACUUGAUGUCCUCGUAUUGGACACUAUUUUAAUUGGAUUUUUCUCUGCUCAUCAAAUGUUAAAUUUUUCAGAAAGAAUCCAUUGCUUUCCUCCUGGAUUAUUUUCUUUAACAUGAAACACUGAGAUAAACACAUCUUCAGGCCCGUCUCCUCGCCAGUCUCUUUCCUCCCAAAGAUAUGAAAAGCAUUAGCUCGGAGUAAGUUAAUUAGACAAGUAUAACUGAUGUUAUUUCAUUAUUAUUCUGUGAUGUUAUUAUCAUUUGAUUCUGCUUUAGCUUUGCUCCUGCUAAAUUUCUUUAAUAAAUAUCCUUCA